rnacentral:rRNA from 1 species
GACUCUUUUGAAUUUUUCAGUAUCUUCUGAGUAAAAAAAACAAUAAAUCAAAACUUUCAACAACGGAUCUCUUGGUUCUGGCAUCGAUGAAGAACGCAGCGAAAUGCGAUAAGUAAUGUGAAUUGCAGAAUUCAGUGAAUCAUCGAAUCUUUGAACGCACAUUGCGCCCGCCAGUAUUCUGGCGGGCAUGCCUGUUCGAGCGUCAUUUCAACCCUCAAGCUCUGCUUGGUGUUGGGGAUCGGCAAGGCGUCCUCCGGGUCGCGCCGUCCCCCAAAUAUAGUGGCGGUCUCGCUGUAGCUUCCUCUGCGUAGUAAUACACCUCGCUCUGGAGUCUCGGUGCGACCACGCCGUAAAACCCCCAACUUUUUUCUGGUUGACCUCGAAUCAGGUAGGACUACCCGCUGAACUUAAGCAUAUCAAUAAGGCG